ensembl:lincRNA
UCCUGCAUGUGCAGCAGCUCAGAGUUGUCUAUUUCCAGCAGCAUCCCGGUGAUUUUCCCAGCCAGGUUUGAAUGCAUUGUUUGGAUUAGCAGGGACAGACGCUCCCCCAGCAUCUGCUUCUGCUCCUGGGGUGUGUGUGGGGGCGGGGGUGGGGGGGGAGAGACGCUGCAGCAAGCAUGGAGGCAGUCAGGGGCUCCUGAACCUGGACGUGGACUGCAGGCUGGGGGGCCUGCAGCGGCUGGAUGGCAGGGUGCGGCCUGUGGACACUGGAGGUGUACUUGUAUGGAGCCACAGCCCUGGGAGCAGGAGGUGCAAGGUUUGACACAGCUGUAGGGACGCCUCCAGACUGGCAGCUGUCAGUCAGCCCUUGCUGGGCGGCACCAGCCCCAUCAAAGUCCAUAGCCAAACGGUCCGGGCACUCAGACCCAGUUGGAGCCAGAUGUGGAAGAGCUGGACGAGGCCCAGACUGCUGCAGAGGACUUGGCAUUCCUUGGAAGCCUUGAGGUCUCCCGCCUUGCUGCCAGCGUGGGUUAGGCCUCAUCUGUGCUAACUGGUUAGGCGUGUAAUAUGGGGUCUUGCCUGAGCCUGCGGAACUGCGGGCACAAAGUAGCCACCAGCUGCAGGCUGGAACUGAUUUAAGAUGGCACUUGGCAGGGAGUGCUCUCAUCCCCACCACACGCUGCAUGUACUGAUUAGUCAGGUGAGCCUUCCCCUCUUCCUCUGGGCCAGGGCGACUUACAGAGGCUUGGAGCCCACAAUGCUUCCGUUCAUCUCGCCGACAGCUUUGGUCGCCUCUUCAGGAGAGGAGAAAGAGACAAAGCCAAACCCUUUGCUUCUUUCGUCUUCUAGCAUCACCUUCGCACUAGUGAUUGAUCCAAAAGGAGAAAACUCUUUCCUUAAUUUCUCAUCAUCAAUGGUGUCAUCCAAGUUCUUACUGUAGAGAUUCACUUCCUGGUGCUGGCUAAUCGUCUCCUGCUUCAGCUACUCAAACUUCCGCUUUAACUCAGCCUGCUGUUCUACCUUUUUCUGUGCGUGGCCUACAAAUAUGGCUUUCCCGCUCAUUUCUUUUCCUUUCAUUUCUUCCACAGCCUUAUUGACAUCCUCAUGUUUCUCAUAACUUACAAAGCCAAAGCCUUUGGACUUCCCACUGGAGUCUCUCAUCACCUUGACACUUAGGGUCUUACCAAACUGGCUGAAGAGCUCUUUCAGAUUCCCAUCAUCCACCUCUUCUCCGAAGUUUUUGAUAUAAACAUUGGUGAAUUCCUUGGCCUUGGCUCCAAGCUCCGCUUCCGCUCUUUGCGAGACUUGAAUCUACCCACAAACACUUUACGGUCAUUGAGAAGCAUGCCGUUCAUCUUCUCGAUGACCUUGUCGGCGGCCUCUUGGGUCUCGAAGUGAACAAAAGCAUAGCCCUUAGAGAAAGUGUCAUACAGUGCCUUGUUGUCUAUGGAUUUGUCCAGGUUCUUGAUGAAGACAUUUCCCACCCCAGACUUUCGCAAAGAGGGAUCCCCCUGCGACCACAUGAUGCGGAUUGGCUUUCCCUUUAUCACGUCGAAGUUCAUGGUGUCCAAGGCCCUCUCAGCAUCAGCUGGCUGCUGGAAGUUGAUGUAGGCAUAACCCAGAGAGCACAGGGUGAACUUACCGCGACAGACCCGGAUGGACAGCACAGGCCCCGCAGGGCUGAACUUUUCAUACAGCAUAGGUUUGGUGACGUCCGAGUGCAAAUCGCCCACGUAUAAGGAGGCCAUGGGGUAGCUGCUGGCUGCAGAGUUCAUCUCCCCCACCCCCCACGACCCUGAGCCCCGCCAGGAGGACUUCUAGGGAAGGCUGGAGCAGGGAGGCUCUG